GGUAGCCUAUCCCUUUUCCAGUGGAUCUUCCCAACCCAGGAAUCGAACUGGGGUCUCCUGCAUUGCAAGCAGAUUCUUUACCAACUGAGCUAUCAGGGAAGCCCAGGUUGGUCAGGUCAGCCCAGGUUGGUCAGGUCAGGUUGCCAUAAUAUUGAUAAGAUACCAUAGACUGGGUGGCUUAACCAAUAGAAAUUUAUUUCUCACAGUUCUGAAGGUUGGAAAGUGCAAGAUCGAGGUGCUGAUUGAUUCAUUUCCCCAGUGAGGAGUUUCUUCAUGGCUUGCAGAUAUCAACCAUCUGACUGUGUCCCCACACGGGAGAACAGGAGAGGAGGUGGGGAGAAUCAGACUGUUUGGUGUCUAUUCUUGUAAGGAGACUAAUCCAUCACGAGGACCCCACCCUCAUGACCUCAGCUAAACCUAAUUACUUCCCAAAGUCCUCAUCGCCAAAUACUAUCACGUGGGGGUUUGGGCUUCAGCAUAUAAAUUUUCAGGGAUACAAUUCAGCCCAUAGCAGGAAUUCAGUAAAUUAUAUGGUAUAUGAGAAGGUACUAAGUGCUAGGGGGAAAGGUAAAGAAGGGAAAGAGAAUAGGGAAUAUGGUGGGGGUAUUAAACUUUAAAUAGAAUGAACACUUGAGAAAACAUCAUACAAGCAAAGACUUUUUUUAAAGAUAAGGAAAUGAGUUAUGUGGAUGACUGCUACUAGGUUGAUGAUGGAAACCCUACAAUUUAGACUUAGAACUUGUGCUACUGUAUAAUCUGAUAACUUUUUUAGGCAAGUGCAAGGAUCCUGAGGCAAAAGCUUACCUGAAGUUGUCAAGGAGCAGCAAGGAACACACUAUACCAGGAGUGAAGGUAGAACUCUCAAGAAGGCAGCUGGACAAAGGAACCUGAAGGUCAGAAGAAGUCCAAGAUGAGGAUAUACAAUCGAAAUUGUCACCAGCUUUUAGAUGGCAUUUAAAGUCUUGAAAUUAAAUGAGAUUGCCAAUGGAAUGACAGAGCCCAAGAGAACGCUAAGGUUAAAAGGUCAGGAAUAUUUAAAAAAAAAAAAAAAGCGAGCAAGUGAUACUGAAAAGGAGCACUGAAAACCAAGAGAGUGUAGCACCUUAGAAGCCAAGUGAAGAAAGCAUAUGAAAGAAGAAAGAGUGAAUGCUUCAGAACACUGCUGAGGAGUCGAGUAAUAUGAGAACUGACCGCUGGAUCUAGCAAUGUGAAGGGCACCGGUGACCUUGCAGUUUCAGUAGGCAUGGGUACAAAAGCCUGACUGAAGGGGGUUUAGGAAAGAAUGAAAGGAUGGGGCCGAAGCUGAAGGGGAAAAUCAAGUCAAGAGAGGAUUUUUAAAGAUAGAAAAAUGACAAUAUUAUUGCCUGCUGCUGCUGAGAAUGAUCAAGAAGAUAGGGGAAAUGGUCAAUAAAUGAGCUUGCAAAAGGUACAAAGUGAACUAGAGAGAAGGAA